GCUGAUCAGGUGCGGACGUCCACACCAAAACUUUGGUGCGGAUUUCCAUUUUUACACCAUUUUUCGAUCGAAUUUCCUCAUCUCCACCAUCUGGUAUCUAGAUAAUAUUGUGUAGAUCAUCUCUGCAAAAUUUCAGCCAAUUUGGUGAUCGUUAAGGCCCUCAAAAUCGAUAGUAAACUACAUAUUAGUUACUAACCAAAUUUCACUUUACAAAUACAUCCUUUGCACAUUAUCUUAUACAGUUAAGGACAAAAAUUAACAAAUUAGGACAAUUUAAUAUGCACAUGCCAUCUGUCACUACAAAUUUACCAGAAUACCCUUCACUACAUAUUAUGUUGCUACUGUCGACAGAAUGUGCUACUGUCGAUCAAUAGGUGCUACUGCCGAUCAAUAGGUGCUACUGCCGAUCAAAAGGUGCUACUGCCGGUGCUAUUGCAGUAUUUUUUUCGGCUAUUCUAUGAUUGCUAGCGCGCUGCUACUGCCAACUCUUAUGCUAGCACACUGCUACUGCCGACUCUUAUGCUAGCACACUGCUACUGCUGACUCUAUGAUGUUAACGCGCUGCUACUGUCGAUGCUAGCGUGCUGCUACUGUCGAUGCUAGCGUGCUGCUACUGUCGAUUCCCAAGCAUAAUAACAUUAAUAUGCUACUGCCAAGUAUAAAGGUGCUACUGCCGAGUAUAAAGGUGCUACUGCCGAUCAAAAGGUGCUACUGUUGGUGCAAUAGUUGGUGCUAUUGCAAUUUUUUCCGGCAAUUCUCUGAUUGCUAGCGUGCUGCUACUGCUGAUUAUGAUGCUUACGCACUGCUACUGCCGACUAUGAUGCUAGCGCGCUGCUACUGUCAAAGCUGCUACUGUUGAAAAAAAAACCUGCAACUUCAACAUAAACCUCCAUCAAUCCACAGAGCCUGAUCUUCUUGUUCCUAAGAUACUCCCUCACAACCUCCAUUUUCAAUCACUACCUCAAUUCAACAACCUGAAAUCAAACUGCUCAAAUUCCCCUAAUCACAAAGGCACAAAACUGAUUCAAUCCCCAAAAAUCCACCGAAAUUACCUUAGAGGCCGCAAUCAAAUCGUGACCGACGAGACAUCGAUGAUGUUGUGAUUGAUUCGACGUUGUUUGGCAAGUGAGAUCGAGGAUCUAGGACGACGAGGUUGGUGAAACCCGGAGCUUGCCGAUGACGGCAGAUCUCACAAGGCAAUGGUGGCCGGCGAGGACGAAGAAUGAGAGAUAGAUAUGAGAAUCAUCCUUCUAUUCAAAAGCCAUGGCGUCGAUCUCCACCAUAGCCGUCAAUCUCUACCAUCGUCGUCGAANNNN
rnacentral:lncRNA from 1 species